rnacentral:lncRNA from 1 species
GACUUGUCUUUUGCGUAACUUUUUUUUUUUUUUUUUUUGAAAAAAAGAAAAAACCCAAAUGGCAAACUUGAUUCAGCCAUGUCUCUGCAGGCAUUCCAGAAGUUCCUCCUAAGCUGGUUUGGGUUUGGGAGGUAGACAGAGCUGCUAGGUCACUAAGCUUGAGAAUUGCUGUGCCUGGUAUAUACCAUGUUUGGGCAUGUGGUGACUCUUAAAUCCAUCAGCACACUGACCCCUUUUCCCAGCUUCAUUGUUCUAUUGUUUUGACUGUGAAAGUGACACUUGUUACAAAACCAGUUUCUAUGAUGUAGGACACUAUUCUCUAGCUUUCUCGUACAUCAGAAUCAUCUGGCCCCACCUCUUGGGAGGCUGAUUCAGUAGCUCUGGGGUGGGGCCUGAGAAUUUGCAUUUCUGACAAGUUCCCAGCUGCUGCUGCUGACCUGGCAUUCUCCCUGUGAUGCAGAGGGACAAGGAAAUAAACAUCAUUUUUUAAUGUUCAUAUUCAGAGGAAGCAAUUGUUAACAUCUUAAGGUAUAUAUUCCAAUAUAGACAUACUUUUAUAAAACAAUGGUCUGUGCUGUACACAGUAUUACUUUUUUACACAACUAUUUUAUUUUGGGGGCAGUUUAGAUUUAUAGGAAACUUGUGAUACAGAACAGAUAACCUAUGCCCUAUUUCUGUUCUUAGUACGCAGAUCCAUCUUAUUUGGGGAUAUACUUUUUUUGUUUCAUUUUGUUUUGUUUCUGUUUUUUUUUUUGAAACAGGGUCUUUAUGUAGUCUUGGCUGUCCUGGAACUCUCUGUAGACCAGAUUGGCCUUGAACUCACAGAGAUCCACCUGCCUCUACCUCCCAAGUGCUGGGAUUAAAGGUGUAUGCAUUUAGCUCAGGUCUAGUUCCUAGUAUUAGUUUCCAUCCUGUACAGUAGCAACUGUUACAGAGCCUUUACAUUAGAACUAUAAAGAAUCUAAAGACAAGUGUACUUUUUUUAACUCUAAUUUUUUUCCUUAUCAGCACCUCUGGAUUUGCUUCACUGUUUUUUAAAGGGCAGUGCACAUGGUUUUGCUUGCUUGUUUGUUUUGUUUUUGUUUUUUACCCUUUUAAAUUUUAAUACAUCUUAUCUAUUUUCAUAUCUUUUUAUUUAUUGUAAAUCUAGCAGAUGAAAGGUAGGGAUAGUCACAUGUCCCUUUUAUCUUAUAUUGGAGAUUAGAGAUUAUUUCCUGGCCUCUGUGGAGGUCUUAGCAUAUUCUAGACACUGCCAACCACUUAACAUAUUAUCUCAAUCAUUUAUCAAACAAUCCUAAGAAAUUGGUAUCAUUAUUUUCCUGUUAACAGAAGAGGGUUAGGGAGGUUAAUGGAGUAAACGCUCUGCCGGCUUUCUUCUUUGACACUUCGGGGGUUGUGAUCAGAAUACAGUACAGCGGAGUGUGCACUUUGCUUGUUUGUUCAGCUUCCCAGUGCCAUCCUUAUGCUGCUUUAGGAAGGGGAAGAGUAUCCUUGAACUCCAGUUUACUUCAGACGUGAAAUACAUAGAAAAAUAAGAAUGUACCUUUAAGUACUUUAUGGAGCUGGAGAUACAACUAAGUUGUAGAGCCUUGUUGAGCUCAUGGGUUCAUUCUCAGUACUCUAGGAUGGAGAAAGCAUUAUGUGAAAGACCGUGAGUCGUAAGAGCUUGCAAAGCCUUCAAAAGUCCUUUGAAGGAUAAGGUAUACAUGUGCAGCUUCGAUGGUGCAGCUGAGGUUCACAUGCUCACAGUGAUUAUAGAUAAACCCAUGAUAAGUCGGAAAUAUCAUAAGCUGAAACUACACAGAACACACACAGAUGAUUCCUACUUAGCAACACAGCACACAGUAGGGUCUUUGCCAUUGCUUAGCCUCUUUGGAGAGUUUUGUACUGAAUUAUCAACAGCUUAGGAAAAAAAAUCCAGAUUCAAAAUUUGGGGAUUUAUACCCAAUAUAUAUAUAUAUAUGACUUUCAUGCUGUUGUAAAGUCAGCACUCAGCCAUUAGACUUGGAAAUGAGACCCAUAUUGAAAUUCUGUGUGUUACUGUGUGCUUGUUCAUGUGUAUCUGGGUGCAUGUAGAAGCCAGAGGACAACCUGAGAUAUCAUUCAUCCCUCUUUAGAAGCUGCUGUUGGGCCGGGCAGUGGUGGCGCACGCCUUUAAUCCCAGCACUCGGGAGGCAGAGGCAGGCAGAUUUCUGAGUUGGAGGCCAGCCUGGUCUACAGAGUGACCAGGACAGCCAGGGCUACACAGAGAAACCCUGUCUCAAAAACCAAAGGAG